GGCAACAGUUGCAAGACGUUUCACAGAUGUACCAUUGCCUGCCACCUCGGAGGAACCGCCAGAGGAUUUUGGCGCAGGCUCGCUCUACCCGUUUCCAGGUAUAGAGGUCAUUGAUGGACAAGGCUUUGGGGAGUGGUCAGAGUGGUUAGUAUGUUCCCAGCUUUGUGGAGGUGGUGUUUCUACGCGGAGCCGAGGCUGUAGUGAUCCGCAAGGCUGCAGCGGGCCCGGGUUUGAGUCUGUACCUUGUAAUGAAGAGGAAU